AUGUGCUGCAAUCCUUGCAGUGCAAACAUUAGCUGCAACGUCAGGUGAGGGCUGGUAACAACUUCCUGUGGUUUCAAAUAUACUGAGCAUCACCCGUAAGACAGAUCAGCGUGUAUGUAGUCUUAAAGACCCCCCUCUCCACCUCCUUCAAAUCCAUGGUAUUUUCUGGACCUUGUAUGUCUGCAGCUACUCUUAGUCUAUGCUGCCCUCUUCUGCUCAGUCUCACAGCCGCAACGGUUGCCUUCGUAUUUACAGUUGAAUGUUGUUUAGACGGUACCAUAUUUGCUUCAUAUAGUUUAAUAUAAGAAGCAUUUAUAAAUGCACGAACUAUUUAAGAUGAUGGUUAAUAUGAAGCUGGCAUGUAGUGCAACAACUUUUCAGCUCUUAUAGCAAUUUAUUCAUACAUCGUGAACAAGUGAAGAUUUAUGCUAAAAUGAGGAAUUCUCAGAAAUAUUGUAUUAAAUUAAUAACUUUACCAUUCAUAAGGUAAAAGGUAGGUGAUGUAUUUUGUUCAUCCUGAUGUUUAUCUGCUUUGAAAGAAGUGGAAAACAUGAAGGCAUCAAGUAGAUUGAACUGUUAGCACAGAACAGCUCUUUAUUGUACUUAUAUCAGCAUACUGUUCAAUCUAACUUUGAAUGUGCUUGCUGACAAGCUUUCUAUCAUUUAUAGCCCAGAUAUUAAUGGAUCACUCUAUAAAAAUACUUUUCUGUAUCUUGUUAAUCUGGUUAUUUCCCUUGUUGCUAAGUUUUAACUUGUUCAAAUAUUUAGGGGUUGCUAGUGUGUUCUAUAGCCUUAGCCAAGCUUAGGCAUACUUAACUCUGAUAUUUUUUAAACCAUUCCUUGCAUGUUCUUAACUGUUUUCCAUGCUUCUCUUAGAGUACGCUGCGUUUAUCCGUGAUGAGGUACCCAGAUACGAACACAGCACUCUGCAAUGACAAGAGCAAUGCUGUUAUUUUCUCUUCCCACUGAAGACUGCCUCUCUGUAUGAAAUCAAACUUUAUGCACCCUCUCAUACUAUUUAUUGUCUACAUUUUUUAUAUAUUAUUUUUUAAUUUGAGACAAUGAGUGUUCCUCCUUCCAAUCAUUAAUUAAAAUGACCAUAGUGCCUUCAUAGUGCUGACUGCCUUCUCACAAGAAGCUAUUCAACAGCCAAGUUACUGUCUAGCAUUGCUUUCCAUGUGUCAGUUAGCCAGUUUCCAUUACACUGGGCAGUUUUCCUGUCUGGAAUAAAAGGUCCUAGUGUAUCAAUUUUCUUACAUUCUCUUCAGCAAGUCAUUCUGGAGUACUAGAAAACAAGCCAUCCAGUCCAUUUUUCAAAAUGCAUAUUCUGUAAAAACCUGUGCACAUUAUUGGUUCUGUGUCAUGGUCUUCUACUGAUAUAUGAUUCAGCUAAAACUAAUUGAAAUAAAUUAACUCGGGAACAA